GGAAAACUCACCAGGUCCAGACAUAGUGAGGAUUGACAGAUUAAUAGCUCUUUCUUGAUUCUAUGGGUGGUGGUGCAUGGCCGUUCUUAGUUGGUGGAGUGAUUUGUCUGCUUAAUUGCGUUAACGAACGAGACCUCAACCUGCUAAAUAGACCAACCUACCUCCGGGUAAGUUGCUGUCUUCUUAGAGGGACUGUGAGCGCUUCAGUUCAUGGAAGUUUGAGUCUAAAA
rnacentral:rRNA from 1 species